AAGUCGUAACAAGGUUUCCGUAGGUGAACCUGCGGAAGGAUCAUUAAUGAUUGGUGGCUGUUGCUGACUAGUGUUUCUAGUAUGUGCACGCCACACCUUCAAUCCCACUUACACCUGUGCACCUUCUGUAAUAGAUCUAUGUGGAUACGGAGAUAUGAAAGUUUGCGCUCUCGUACUCUGUUGAAGCAGUCUACUACGUUUUUUUUUACACACACACACAAUAGUCAUUGAAUGUAUUUUUUUUAUUCUUAUGAUAAAAACAACUUUCAACAACGGAUCUCUUGGCUCUC
rnacentral:misc_RNA from 1 species